UUUCUUCUUGGAAACCCCCACAUAGUCUCAUGAGCACCUACAAUGACAGAAAGGGAAAUUUAGAGAAUGAAGAGAAAACUUCUAAGAUGUUCAUAGAAUGCUUCAGGGAAGAGGUUUGAUAAUGAGCUGUUCAUGAAAGAUUGAACUCAUGAAACUGGGGAUAAGGAAGACAGUUUCGGAGGGGAAAAUGGCACAAGCAAACGUGUGGAGGAAAUGCAAGUGUGAAGAAUGGGCAUCACCAAUUCUUAUGUGAGUGAUCACCUCAGGGUGUGUCAACUUACCUUGGGCUUCUGCAAAACAGUCAAGAAAACUGCUUUUUAUUAUUUUCUGUUUUCUGAAUCAGCAACUCUGUCACAAGCUAGAAGUCCCUGUAUUAUUCUUCAUUUUAUUACUUUUCAUGUAAGACUGGAAAACUCUUGGGAGCCUUGGCCUACUAAUUCAUAUGUCAUGUUUGAGUUACAUUUUAGAAAUAGCA
rnacentral:lncRNA from 1 species